UACAGAGGCCCAAACGUUAUUCGGAUUUACUGGGCGUAAAGGGCGCGUAGGCGGUCAGCACAAGUCAGUUGUGAAAUCUCCGGGCUUAACUCGGAAAGGUCAACUGAUACUGUGCGACUAGAGUGCAGAAGGGGCAACUGGAAUUCUCGGUGUAGCGGUGAAAUGCGUAGAUAUCGAGAGGAACACCUGCGGCGAAGGCGGGUUGCUGGGCUGACACUGACGCUGAUGCGCGAAAGCCAGGGGAGCGAACGGG
rnacentral:rRNA from 1 species